CCACCACGCCCCCCCCUGGGCCCGGCCGCGGGGUCCUAGCGCCCGGCCGGCGCGCCCCCGCGUGACUCGGUUUAUCCGGAACCCGCGAGGGGAGGAAGCAUUUUCUCGCGGCCGAAACCGCGAGGCUGGGGAGGGGCGGGUCGAAGAGGACAGGGUGAAAGGACGGGGAAGGAGAGGGGUCCCUAAGGAAGGGCUGUGCCACCGAGGCCGCCGCCGCACGUGCAGUUCGUGGCCCCGCGGGGUCCGGAGGGGCGGGUGGCUCUAGCAGCCGCAGGUCCGCAGAGGAAAUCCGGCCUGGCCCCGAUUUCUCCCGCUGUUGGCGCCGCCGCACUUAGGGGAGGCAAACAGGAGAGGUGACGGCGGGGCUGAACACGGAAGGAAAUGACCCUUCACUGGCCCUGGAGCGGCCACAAAGGGGGUUCCCCCACACCGCAGCCAUCCCCUCUGGUGGGUCCACAGUCCCCUCUCUGGUUGUGCUGUAGUGUUCAGAGCCUCCUCCAGCGUCUCCUGGACCCUCAAGCAGCUGUGGAAAGGUACCAUCUAACGGAAGAGGGUCACAGCUAUCCUCCAGACCCCGGUUCCAAGGAUCGUAGAGAAUUCCUCUUCCACAUGUUUCUCUUCCCUGAUGGUCACCAGCCCUGAGAGUAGCACAGGGUGCCCCAUUUUACAGAUGGGGAAGGGACCACCCAAAGCCUUGUGG
ensembl:lncRNA